AUCCCAAAGGCGUGAAAUAUUUUCGGAACCAUAAGUCACAUAAACAUGACAUUUGGUAUGCGGACAUAUCUAGGUGCUUAUAGUGAGGUAUAUAUAACUGAGUUUAUAAAAGGGGGCGUAGCACUUAACAUAGGCUUGGAAUUUUUUAUCAGCCAUAACUAUGGAACUACAAGUCACAUGACCCCCUUAAUUCCUUCUGGCGUGGGUUGAAACCCGCGGGUAAAAGCUAGUGUAUAUAAAUAAAAAU